rnacentral:rRNA from 1 species
UACGAAGGGGGCUAGCGUUGUUCGGAAUUACUGGGCGUAAAGCGCACGUAGGCGGAUUGUUAAGUUAGGGGUGAAAUCCCAGGGCUCAACCCUGGAACUGCCUCUAAUACUGGCAAUCUCGAGUUCGAGAGAGGUGAGUGGAAUUCCGAGUGUAGAGGUGAAAUUCGUAGAUAUUCGGAGGAACACCAGUGGCGAAGGCGGCUCACUGGCUCGAUACUGACGCUGAGGUGCGAAAGCGUGGGGAGCAAACAGG